rnacentral:rRNA from 1 species
UGACAUGCAGUAGACCGGUCCAGAGAUGGGCCUUUCCUUCGGGACUGCUGCACAGGUGCUGCAUGGCUGUCGUCAGCUCGUGCCGUGAGGUGUUGGGUUAAGUCCCGCAACGAGCGCAACCCUUAUCAUUAGUUGCCAACAUUUAAGGUGGGAACUCUAAUGAGACUGCCUGGGUUAACCAGGAGGAAGGUGAGGAUGACGUCAAGUCCGCAUGGCCCUUAUGUCUGGGGCUACACACGUGCUACAAUGGUCGGUACAGAAGGCAGCGAAGCCGCGAGGUGGAGCAAAUCCCGAAAGCCGGCCUCAGUUCAGAUUGUAGUCUGCAACUCGACUACAUGAAGACGGAAUUGCUAGUAAUGGCGAGUCAGCAACAUCGCCGUGAAUACGUUCCCGGGUCUUGUACACACCGCCCGUCACAUCAUGGGAGUUGGUUUUACCCGAAUCCGCUGGCUUAACCGCAAGGGGAGAGGCGUGUAAGGUAAGGC